UUAGGAGAUUGAGGAGACACAGUAGACGUUUAGCGUUAUUUGCACUGCUAUCGAGGUGAGAAUGCGGAUGACGGCCAGCAUCCCGAGGCAUGAGCGGUUUCCCAUGGAUGUGGAUGGGGUUUAUGGGUAGCGUAGGGUUUUAUUAUUAAAGACUUCCGCUUUGUUAAAUUUUUAAAGACUUAUUAAUUAUGUCUUAAUGGAUUUCUAAAUACAUUUUAUUCAUUUUUUUGGGAUUAUAUUAAAUGAUUUUGUUGGCGGAUUUGAAUA